UUGCCUGUGUGUGUUAAGGGCAUUGCAGUGAGGAUCUGGGCAUUUCAGUUGUGAAGGACCUGGAAGCCCCACUGUGAGGUCUGCAGCCAACCUGCUGAUUUAUAAAGAAGCACAAAAAAGGUUUCUAGAGUAAAGCAAAGGUGUGAAGUCAAUCAGGGUCUCCCCAGAGGAUUAAGGCAAAUUGUCUAUGAAGAUCCCCAGUUCUUUCUGGAUUGACAGGAAGCUGAACAUGAGCCAGCAGUGUGCCCAGGUGGCCAA